rnacentral:rRNA from 1 species
UAUAUGUCUGCCAGAGAGUAGGUAAGAGAAGGGACCGGCACAGGGCCCACCUCAAUCCCCUAAACUACCUAUUUGCGAAGAUCCAUUUGUCAGAGUAGUUGUCGACCUAAUAGUUGCGCAGGCAAUUUGGUGACUCUAGAGAACCUCGGGCCAAUUGCACAUUCCUGUGACGGCGACUUUGCAUUCAGAUGUCUGCCCUAUCAACUUUCUAUGCCACUUUCUGCGCCUACCAUGGUGACCACGGGGAAUCAGGGUUCGAUUCCGGAGAGGCACCCUGAGAAACGGCUACCACAUCCAAGGAAGGCAGCA